CCUACGGGUGGCAGCAGUGGGGAAUAUUGGACAAUGGGCGAAAGCCUGAUCCAGCCAUGCCGCGUGUGUGAAGAGGGCCUUCGGGUUGUAAAGCACUUUCAGUGGGGAAGAAAGCCUUGGGGCUAAUACCCUCGAGGAAGGACAUCACCCACAGAAGAAGCACCGGCUAACUCCGUGCCAGCAGCCGCGGUAAUACGGAGGGUGCGAGCGUUAAUCGGAAUUACUGGGCGUAAAGCGCGCGUAGGCGGUCUGAUAAGCCGGUUGUGAAAGCCCCGGGCUCAACCUGGGAACGGCAUCCGGAACUGUCAGGCUAGAGUGCAGGAGAGGAAGGUAGAAUUCCCGGUGUAGCGGUGAAAUGCGUAGAGAUCGGGAGGAAUACCAGUGGCGAAGGCGGCCUUCUGGACUGACACUGACGCUGAGGUGCGAAAGCGUGGGUAGCAAACAGGAUUAGAUACCCGAGUAGUC
rnacentral:rRNA from 1 species